rnacentral:rRNA from 1 species
UGGGAGCUUGCUCCCUGAUGUUAGCGGCGGACGGGUGAGUAACACGUGGGUAACCUGCCUGUAAGACUGGGAUAACUCCGGGAAACCGGGGCUAAUACCGGAUGGUUGUCUGAACCGCAUGGUUCAGACAUAAAAGGUGGCUUCGGCUACCACUUACAGAUGGACCCGCGGCGCAUUAGCUAGUUGGUGAGGUAACGGCUCACCAAGGCGACGAUGCGUAGCCGACCUGAGAGGGUGAUCGGCCACACUGGGACUGAGACACGGCCCAGACUCCUACGGGAGGCAGCAGUAGGGAAUCUUCCGCAAUGGACGAAAGUCUGACGGAGCAACGCCGCGUGAGUGAUGAAGGUUUUCGGAUCGUAAAGCUCUGUUGUUAGGGAAGAACAAGUGCCGUUCAAAUAGGGCGGCACCUUGACGGUACCUAACCAGAAAGCCACGGCUAACUACGUGCCAGCAGCCGCGGUAAUACGUAGGUGGCAAGCGUUGUCCGGAAUUAUUGGGCGUAAAGGGCUCGCAGGCGGUUUCUUAAGUCUGAUGUGAAAGCCCCCGGCUCAACCGGGGAGGGUCAUUGGAAACUGGGGAACUUGAGUGCAGAAGAGGAGAGUGGAAUUCCACGUGUAGCGGUGAAAUGCGUAGAGAUGUGGAGGAACACCAGUGGCGAAGGCGACUCUCUGGUCUGUAACUGACGCUGAGGAGCGAAAGCGUGGGGAGCGAACAGGAUUAGAUACCCUGGUAGUCCACGCCGUAAACGAUGAGUGCUAAGUGUUAGGGGGUUUCCGCCCCUUAGUGCUGCAGCUAACGCAGUAAGCACUCCGCCUGGGGAGUACGGUCGCAAGACUGAAACUCAAAGGAAUUGACGGGGGCCCGCACAAGCGGUGGAGCAUGUGGUUUAAUUCGAAGCAACGCGAAGAACCUUACCAGGUCUUGACAUCCUCUGACAAUCCUAGAGAUAGGACGUCCCCUUCGGGGGCAGAGUGACAGGUGGUGCAUGGUUGUCGUCAGCUCGUGUCGUGAGAUGUUGGGUUAAGUCCCGCAACGAGCGCAACCCUUGAUCUUAGUUGCCAGCAUUCAGUUGGGCACUCUAAGGUGACUGCCGGUGACAAACCGGAGGAAGGUGGGGAUGACGUCAAAUCAUCAUGCCCCUUAUGACCUGGGCUACACACGUGCUACAAUGGACAGAACAAAGGGCAGCGAAACCGCGAGGUUAAGCCAAUCCCACAAAUCUGUUCUCAGUUCGGAUCGCAGUCUGCAACUCGACUGCGUGAAGCUGGAAUCGCUAGUAAUCGCGGAUCAGCAUGCCGCGGU